GCGGACGUGGUGCACGGUGCACCCCUCUGUUCAUUGAGCAAUAGUCUUGAAUUACAGGAGGUGCCGGGGUUCGACUCCCCGCGUCCGCA